UACGUAGGGUGCAAGCGUUAAUCGGAAUUACUGGGCGUAAAGCGUGCGCAGGCGGUUUCGUAAGUCUGUCGUGAAAUCCCCGGGCUUAACCUGGGAAUUGCGAUGGAGACUGCGAGGCUAGAGUUUGGCAGAGGGGGGUAGAAUUCCACGUGUAGCAGUGAAAUGCGUAGAGAUGUGGAGGAACACCGAUGGCGAAGGCAGCCCCCUGGGUCAAAACUGACGCUCAGGAGCGAAAGCCAGGGGAGCAAACGGG
rnacentral:rRNA from 1 species